rnacentral:lncRNA from 1 species
AGGAGGUGUAGCCUGGUUGUGGCCUGGGGAGUUUGGCUGUUCUGUGUGGCAUAAGCCAGCCACUCAAUCCUCUUCCAUGGGCUAUCUCUAACUUUAUUAUGUGUCUUAAAGAGAAGAAUCUAAAACUGAGUUCAUUAUCCUAUGUGUGGCCACACCAUUGUCUUGUACAAAGUCACCCCUGAAUAUUGGUUUGUGAGCAUUCUAGUAUUCCUUGCUGCCAAUGCCAAAGAGCAGAGCUCUGCCCUCCAAUGACAGAUGACAGUGAUAUUUAAAAAAUAAAUCAAUGAAAGUCAUUCCUUGCCUUCUGGAAUCUCCCAUUCUAAAGUCUAGUUUAGGAAAGUUCUCUCACUCUCUCUGAUACACACACACACACACACACUACCACCACCAUCACCAACAACAAUAAAAGGCUUAAGAACACUUAAUAAUGUGUAAAAAGUGGCAAAGUAGCAAAACAAAACUAUAUUUGUAACUGCUGUGGAGUCACAGAGCAGUAGCAUUGUCACUGUUGGGUUAAGGGAAGUCUCCCUGCAAAUAGGAAGUUUUACGUGGAGUUUAAACAAACGAUAGUUUAAGUCAUUGCUGGGCAAUUUAUUAGCUAUAUAAUCUUGAGCAAAAUGACUGGUCUUUCCAAAAACCAGUUAACUAACUCUGUCAUAAAAUAGUAUCCGCCUCAAAGAGAUUUUUUAAGUUAACUGAGAUGACACAUGCAAAACCCUUAGCACAAUGCAUGGCACAUAAUAAGUAUUCAGGAAAUCUCAGCUAUUAUUAUUUUUAUAAGGAGAGAAAUUGAGUUACUGCAGAGGAGGUGAACAUUUUUGGCAUGAAGGCCUGAGGUUUUGCAUGAGGAUGUCAUGUAUGAAAGAGAGGAAGUAGAGUACAUAAACCAGAGAAGAGAUUCCAUUUAGAAAGCCAUUAGAUGGAGGUGUGGUGGUGGGUGGGAGUGGUGAGGAGAGGGAGCUGUACAAACGAUGAAUUAAGGCCAAGUGGAAGAGCUUUAAUUUGAUAUGAUGAACAACAAUAGCUACCGCAUAACAAGGGGAUCCCGUGAAAGCAGCUUUCACGGAUUCCCUGGGACUGCAUUCCUCAAUAAAGUAUUAUCACAUAAAUUUUUACUUCUGGCUUUAAUUCUUAGGGAAACCAGGCCAAGAAAGAAGAAUAAACUCUAAGAAAUACUACGAUGGAGGAAUGAGGACUUGGUAGUGGUGUAACUGUGUAUGGCAAAGAUUAGGGGGAAGUUUAAAGAUUAGCUCCAAGUUUGUGGGCCUGGGGACCUGGGGAUGGAGGUGGAGUGAAGGUAAUUUUCAUAGUGGUGAGGAAAGGGGGAAGUUAAGAAUCAGCCCUAGUCCUCCUUACGGUAUGAGAGGGGCUUGUCUAUAUCCCAAAUAUAUGGUUUAAAAGUCUCUGGGUCUCCUGGGUUACAGUCCUCACCCUGUAUCCCCUUAUCACUCUUUGAUAGGUCUACAUUUAAUAUGAGGUUGGGACAAUCUGAGUGUGACCCUUAAUUAUUUUAUGGCAUAAGGUUUAAUAAAGAGGAAUCCAGUCAGGAUGACAGACUUAUGAAAUCAUUUUCCAAAUCUUUAUUUUAAUAUAUAGUUUAACAACAGAAAAACCUAAACACAACACUACGAGUUAUUUUAGAAAAAAAAAAAAGCAGACUAAAGUAGCAAAGGCAUCUGUCUAAAUUGGCUGUAAUGAGACCAAAGAACCCUUCUAAAGCAGAUACAAAAACAAAAGCAAGGACUGGAGUGUGAAGGAGAAGGUUUCUCUGGGAAAACAUUUGAAAACCUUUAUUUCCAAGCCUACCAAUCAAUAAAUAUUAUCCCCCAUUGUGAAUGAACCCCAUAUGAGGCUCUCUGCAGGUGGAUACUAAAGAAACCCCAGGCAUCAGACAUAUUCUCAGAGAACAUGAAAUGUGGUAGGAGGUAUAGGCCUCAUGAGAAUAAACUAAAUCAGGAUAUUUACACAGAUCCAUCAAGUCCAGUACAGACUGAAGUAUGCAGCUGCUGUCCACCCAAAGUAGCUCAAAUUUUACGUGCUCAAAAGUAGAACUCACCUGCUCUUUCUUUUGUAGUUCCUAUUUCAGUUGGAGGCAUCCAGUUGCUUGUGCCAGAAACCUGGUUACCAUUCUUGACUCCUUCUUCUCUAUCAUUAUUUGAAUGACCAAAUACUAUCGGCUUUAACCCAAAUGUUUUUCAAAUCUGCCUCUAGGGGAGGCAGCCUUUGUAAACAGCAGUGUAGGCUAACAUUAUUCCAGCUUAGAUAUCUAUGGGGAGGAAUCUCUUUAGACUCAAAUUUCUUUUCUAAGUGAGUGAAAUACAAUGACUGUCAGACCUAACAAAAUCAGGAACUUGUCUGCACCCUUCCAUCUCUGGGAAAUUGACAUGGACUCCUAAAGAUUGCUGUACCUGUCAAACCAAAUGGCAGAUAGAAAAGAUGGGGCCUGUUGGGGGGUAGAGGCAAGGGGAGGGAGAACAUUAGGACAAAUACCUAAUGCAUGCGGGGCUUAAAACCUAGAUGAUGGGUUGAUAGGUGCAGCAAACCACCAGUCACAUGUAUACCUAUGUAACAAGCCUGCAUGUUCUGCACAUGCAUCCCAGAACUUAAAAUAAAAUAAAAUAAAAUAAAAUAAAAUAAAAUAAAAUAAAAUAAAAUAAAAGGUGGUUGAGGACCCAAAGAACCCUACAUAAUGUCAACAGAAACACAUUUUAUUGGACAUUCUUAAGUCUUCCUAUGACUUGGUACUGCAUGUGCUAAUCUUGGGAAAGUCAGCUGCCAGAACUUUGGGAAGCAGAAAAUUGGAUACAUGAGCUUGAUUAUUCAAAUAAAUGAUUUGAUACCUAAAUUAUCUGGAUAAUUGCCUCCUUAUGGUCUAGGACAACCUGACCCCCCAUACUCCUAGAGCCACAGGAAAUCUGAGAGUCAUAAUUGCCUGUGGGAAACUAAAUAGAGUGUCUGAGGGGGUGUCUGCAGAGUAGGAAAUGAAAACCGACUGUUCAAAGUGGCAAAUGAGUAACGUGUUCAUUGUGACAGGUAGAAAAUCAGCCCAGGCUGGGAGUAAGUCGGGGGAGUAAAUUUUGGUUGGUGUCUGACAAUUUCCUUAUCCUGUCUAUUUUUUAAACUUUGGUUGAUUCAUUCCCAAGUAACCCUCAUC